rnacentral:piRNA from 1 species
UAGCAGGAACAAGUUCCCUCCUGUGGAGUGU